CCUAGCGGCUGCAGGAACCACGCCAUCGUCUCAACUGUCUCCGGCGACCAGGCGAACCAAAUACCUCGCGCGAGGCCGGACGACGGAGGCGGUUGAUCUAGCAGCUGGAUGUGGACUGCUGGUGGUGGCGGGGGGUGCAGCAAAUGCGCCGGCAAGUGCGUCGAGGCGCAGCCGCCGGUCUAUUCCUGCUGACCAACUGCGCCGGCGAUGCCGAGGAAGCGCUACGCUGAUAGCGGCGGCAGCGGCGUUGUGCGAGUACUAGGCGCAGGUCUGGAGCAUGGGCGGGUUCACGCGGAAGCACAAGGUGAGAUGUGUUGUUCAUGGGUUCCCUGUACGUGAGUAUGUGACUUUGUAUUUUGGUGGCUUUUGAGCUGAAUAUAGUAGGGAAUAUCACAGAUCUCCAUUACAGCCUUCUUAUAUUAAACAUUAGGAAAAAUAAAAGAUCUAGCAAUACAAAUAUUUUGGUGGCAGCAUACAGAGUACAUGGUGAGCAAAUCUGGAAUAAACUAGUCCAGAAAUAAAAUUACAAAUUAUUUGUUGGGCCUCUAAUACAAGCUAAGGCUGACCACCCCCGAAUCGUUGCCAUAGAUACUCUAUCAAAUCGCCUUUGAGUUGUCGAUGUGUAGCUCGAUCACGAAUUGCUGAGCCUAUCUCCAGCACUCUGGCAAAUUCAUGAAUUGGCCCAUGGUUCAGAUUAUCUAUUUCGUUGUUAAAGGUAUCCUGAUCAUAGUCAUAGUCAAAGCGAACCUCAUAGGAAUCCCGCUCAUCCUCGACUAUCAUAUUAUGCAAUAUAACACAUGCAUACAUGAUAUCAGCAAUAUCUUGCCUAUACCAAAGAUUAACCGGACCACGUACAAUAGCAAAUCGAGAUUGUAGAACUCCAAAUGCACGUUCAACAUCUUUUCUUGCACCUUCUUGCAUCUUUGCAAACAAUUUUGUCUUGUCAGUUGGGGGCAAGCGGAUUGUCUUCACAAAUGUAUUCUGGUUCCAACAGCUAGUUUUCUGCACAUGUAUUCUGGUUCCAACAGCUAGUUUUCUGAACAUGCAGCUCUUUUCAACGGCUAGUUUUCUGCACAUUUAUUCUGGUUCCAACGGCUAGUUUUCUGAACAUGCAACAUUUAUUCUGGUUUCAACAGCUCUUUUCAACAUUGAUACAUUGAUGAUAGACUAAAUAAUACAAUACCGAAACUAAAAGAUAUCUUUGACAGAAAUGGAAAGAUACAUUGAUGAGAGCCUGAAACUAAAUGAUACAAUACCGAAACUAAAAGAUACAUUGCUGAAAUGGAAAGAUACAUUGAUGAGAGGCUGAAACUAAAUGGUACUACUAAUUAUUAAAUAGAUAGCUCCAUGCCUAGAAGAUUCAGAAGCUGGUUAUAUCGCUGUAGCUUUGCUGCAUCAUAUCCGGAUGUGUCUAUCUCCAGUAACUUCAUAUACUUGCUCAAUUUUUUGGUUCUUGCCUUCUCAAGUGUGGCAGCAGUGUAAUCUUUCAUUGCAGAUGCCUUCUCCUUUCUUGCUUCUGCAGCCAUCUCUAUUGCAGCUGAUUUUCUUGCUAUGGCAUCAUGAUAUAGUUGCAUAGUUGGAUCUGGCAGGUUGCUUGAAGAAGAGUCGGCCUUUGCUGGUGCCUUUCCUUUGCGUUUUGCGCCCUUCUGUCCCGGAGGAUGACGUUCCAAUUGUCUGUCCACUGAUUCUUCGGCAUCUUUACUAGAAGAAGAAAUGUAAGCCCCUGUUUCUGAGGUCUUGCCUCUCUUUCUCGCUUCAUCCUUCUCUAGUAAGUAAGUAUUUUUCCACUUUGGCAUUUCUUUCACCAUAUCCCACCAAUAUUCUAGCGUGAAUCUUUUUUUGUAUUUCUCCUUGUAAUCUGCUCUUACCAUAUCCAUAAACAUAUUGUCAUCAUACCCACUAGGAUACACACUGCGUUGCACGGAAUGACACCCAGCAAACUGAGUCACAAAUUUGUUUUGCUUACUCCAAUGGUCUUUCAACAUCUUGGCAGAUCUUUGCCUCUCUUUCGGAGUGACGCUGUUGUAGUCUUUCUCAACUGCUUUCCAAUACUGGUCUGAUUUCUUGGAGUUACCAUCUACUGGAUCGAGAGAAUUUUCCAACCAAGCAUUGACAAGCCGCUUAUUUUCUUCCUCUGUCCAAUUUCUCCUCUUAGCAAUAGGUUCUUCUGCUUCACCGGGACUACUUCCACUUGACUCUUGCUGAUCUACUUCUUCUGCCCUAUGUAUUGAUGCAGGAGGCUGAGGCGAAUAAUGAAAAUAUCCGGCAUCUUGGUUGAUCCUAGCAUGUGGAUCAAUCCCGGUGAAGCCGGCGGCUGCAGAAGAUGAAUGACCAUAUGAACCUCCUCCAUACACUCCAUGUGCUGCAUGGAAACCUGAGGUAUGUGGAGGUGGAAAUGGAUACAUGUUCUGUGCAUACAUGGGAUGCAAAUAUUGCCCAUGCUGAGAGGAUGAAGCACUUGUGAACUGGUGAGGUGGGGUGGCAGAUGGGGUAUAGUUUCGAUUUUCUGGAUCUUGGCUUGAGCAAUUAUUGAGCAUCCUAGUGAAACUUCCUGGAGAGUGCUCCAUGAAUGUGAAGUUUUUUGAGGUGUCUAGGCUCCCAGUUGGUUUGGAUGUGUGCAAACUUAUUGUUCAAAGCCCUAGUAUAUAUACUGAUAGAUGUGUGUAUGCACACACUUGUUGUAACGGCCAUAAUUUGUUGUUUAUUAUUAUUUUUAAAUGCGACGGUUGUAUUGGAUUGGAUGUGUAUGCUCAGAACAAACUGAGCUUUGCCAGUUUGCACUGUAUAACGGUUGCCUUUGGCUUGCUAGGCAACGGCUGGUGUGUUCAGCUUUCAACUGCCAUCUUUAAAUAAUAUUAUUUUAUUCUUUGG
rnacentral:lncRNA from 1 species